rnacentral:lncRNA from 10 species
CGGACCUUCGCAAACCCCGGGGCUGGGCGGCCCUGGGUGACAGACACAAGCUUCUGAACCCAAGCUAACAAAGGCGGCCACUUCCUUCUCUUGGAGAAGAUGAAAGGAAGGAAGCAAGAGACAUGGAAGAGCCUUUUUAUGAUCUCCAAUGCCAAAACAGGGAACAGAAAAGGGAGGAAGGGUUCACCAGACCCUGGGGAGUUAUGAAGUGUUUCCCACAGCUCCUAAAGAAGGGGUGGACAGGGAAUCGACGUCUGCUGAACACGGCACCAGGCACCGUCCUAGGUGCUUGUCCAACCUUCCCGGAUUUAAUCCACUAAUCCCAUUUUACAGACGGGGAGACUGAGACACCCCCCCACCCCCCAUAGAAAGCCUGGACUGGAACCCACAAGCAAAAUGAGGAUCAGGGCUUGGCCUGCUCUGAGUCAUCUCCCAGUAACAUCUAGUUCCCAGAAAAAUCAGAACAAGGAUACUGAAGCAGAACCAUUUCACAGAGAGCAAAGAUUUGAAGGUGGGAUGACAAAUCCAGUUCCAUCUUAACUGGAAGCACAAAUUGAGAGUAUGCAGCUCUUUAUACUCACAUGGGAAAAUAAGACGUAGAAAUCAAACACUUCUGCUGCACACCAAAGGGCAAUUGUCUCAAAGAAAAGCAUUUGUACCGUUGUUUCAGAAGUAUAGUGGGCCGCAGUGGCUCACAUCUGUAAUCCCAACAUUUUGGGAGGACAAAGCAGGUGGAUCACUUGAGGUUAGGAGUUCAAGACCAGCCUGGCCAACAGGAUAAAACCCCCAUCUCUACUAAAAAUACAAAAAUUAGCUGGGAAUGGUGGCAGGUGCCUGUAGUCACAGCUACUCCAGAGACUGAGGAAGGAGAAUCACUUGAACCUGGGAAACAGAGUUUGCAGUGAGCAGAGAUCACACCACUGCACUCCAGCCUGUGUGACAGAGAGAGACAGUCUCAAAAAAAGAAAAAGAGAGAGAGAGAGAAGCAUAGUGAACUUGCUACUUUUUUCAUGAAAUUCCAAUUUAAUUGAAAGAACAAUGACUGAUAAAUUAUGAUUAUUCAGACUUGGAUAUUUGGCAGACAUUUGAAGAUGAAUAAAGUGCGCCUAUCCCUUGAAGGAAAAUAACUGACACUGUUUGUUGCCAGUGAUAAAACUGGAUCUUUGCAGUAAAAAUUGGAAUUUUGGAUAACUUGUAUCUGCUACCAUAAGCUUGAUAGUUUCCUGAUAUGCAACAACUUUUAUGACAAAAUUGGUGAUUUUAACAAAUGUGAUUAUUUAUUAUAUAUAAUGAAAUGCUCAACAUUUGGAAUAUCUGCAUAACUCAGUGAAGCAAUAUUUUCCAAAUGUUCAAUUCAUCAUGUUACAAAGUCACAAAGAAAAGUUCCACUCAAAGUAUAAGAGACACCCAGUGGAUUUUAAUGUAAUGGAAUAAAAACAUGUAUUUAGAAGCAGAUUUUAAGUUGUACCUUUUAUGACACUAUCAUUUGUUAUGUUUUGAUUUAAUAAUGAAGGAGAUUAUCCACAGUUAUCUGAAGAGGCUAUUAAAAUACUCUUCCUUUUUCCUACUACAUGUCCGUGUGGGGUCAAAUUUUCUUCAUGUACUUCAGCCAAAAUAAUAUAUCACAACAGGUGGAAUGCAUAAGCAAAUAUGGGAAUCCAGUUGUCAUCUAAAAAGUCAGAAAUUAAAGAGAUUUUUUUAAAUGCCAAUCUUCUCACUAAACUCUUUUUACUUUGGAAAAUGUAUUUUUUCAUAAAACAUGUGUCUUUAGAUGCAAUGACUUUAUUCUUUUAAAAUAAAUCCAUAAUUAAGUAUUUGUAAAAUGCCUG